rnacentral:misc_RNA from 1 species
UCAAACUUGGUCAUUUAGAGGAAGUAAAAGUCGUAACAAGGUCUCCGUUGGUGAACCAGCGGAGGGAUCAUUACAGAGAGCUCCUGCUCCCUAAACCCACUGUGAACAUACCUAUCUGUUGCCUCGGCGGACGUCCCGGGUGCCCGUCUCGACGGGUGGCCGGACCCAGGCGCCGCCGGAGGACCCCCAAACUUGUCGGAUUAGAGACUGUCUGAGUGGCGCAAGCAAAUCAAUCAAAACUUUCAACAACGGAUCUCUUGGUUCUGGCAUCGAUGAAGAACGCAGC